rnacentral:rRNA from 1 species
GACGUAGGGCGCGAGCGUUUGUCCGGAUUUAUUGGGCGUAAAGAGCUCGUAGGCGGCUUGUCACGUCGGAUGUGAAAGCCCGGGGCUUAACCCCGGGUCUGCAUUCGAUACGGGCUAGCUAGAGUGUGGUAGGGGAGAUCGGAAUUCCUGGUGUAGCGGUGAAAUGCGCAGAUAUCAGGAAGAACACCCGUGGCGAAGGCGGCUCUCUGGGACGGUACUGACGCUGAGACGCGAAAGCGUGGGGAGCGAACAGG